GACGAACGCUGGCGGCGUGCUUAACACAUGCAAGUCGAACGGAAAGGCCCUGCUUUUGUGGGGUGCUCGAGUGGCGAACGGGUGAGUAACACGUGAGUAACCUGCCCUUGACUUUGGGAUAACUUCAGGAAACUGGGGCUAAUACCGGAUAGGAGCUCCUGCUGCAUGGUGGGGGUUGGAAAGUUUCGGCGGUUGGGGCUGGACUCGCGGCUUAUCAGCUUGUUGGUGGGGUAGUGGCUGACCAAGGGUUUGACGGGUAGCCGGCCUGAGAGGGUGACCGGCCACAUUGGGACUGAGAGACGGACCAGACUCCUACGGGAGGCAGCAGUGGGGAAUAUUGCAGAAUGGGCGGAAGCCUGAUGCAGCAACCCCGCGUGCGGGAUGACGGCCUUCGGGUUGUAAACCGCUGUCGCCUGUGACGAAGCGUGCGUGACGGUAAUGGGUAAAGAAGCACCGGCUAACUACGUG
rnacentral:rRNA from 1 species